rnacentral:rRNA from 1 species
UGGGGAAUAUUGCCCAAUGGGCGCAAGCCUGAUGCAGCCAUGCCGCGUGUAUGAAGAAGGCCUUCGGGUUGUAAAGUACUUUCCGCGGGGAGGAAGGUGUUGAGGUUAAUAACCUCAGCAAUUGACGUUACCCGCAGAAGCAGCACCGGCUAACUCCGUGCCAGCAGCCGCGUUAAUACGGAGGGUGCAAGCGUUAAUCGGAAUUACUGGGCGUAAAGCGCACGCAGGCGGUCUGUCAAGUCGGAUGUGAAAUCCCCGGGCUCAACCUGGGAACUGCAUUCGAAACUGGCAGGCUAGAGUCUUGUAGAGGGGGGUAGAAUUCCAGGUGUAGCGGUGAAAUGCGUAGAGAUCUGGAGGAAUACCGGUGGCGAAGGCGGCCCCCUGGACAAAGACUGACGCUCAGGUGCGAAAGCGUGGGGAGCAAACA